AAAUUAAGGUUUAAUUUCACUUGUGUUUUCAAAGUUUCACAAAUUAGUGAAACUUUGAAAACACAAGUGAAAUUAAACCUUAAUUU